GACUGUGUAGCCAAGUGGAAAGGCAAUGGACUGCAACUCCAUGAGCGCAGGUUCGACUCCUGUCACAGUCUCCA
rnacentral:tRNA from 1 species